rnacentral:rRNA from 1 species
AGUGAACGCUGGCGGCAGGCCUAACACAUGCAAGUCGAACGGCAGCACGGCAGUAGCAAUACUGUGGGUGGCGAGUGGCGGACGGGUGAGGAAUACAUCGGGAUCUACCCUGUUGUGGGGGAUAACGUAGGGAAACUUACGCUAAUACCGCAUAAGAACUGAGGUUGAAAGCGGCGGACCGCAAGGCGUCGCGCGAUUGGAUGAACCGAUGUCCGAUUAGCUAGUUGGCGGGUAAAGGCCCACCAAGGCGACGAUCGGUAGCUGGUCUGAGAGGACGACCAGCCACACUGGAACUGAGACACGGUCCAGACUCCUACGGGAGGCAGCAGUGGGGAAUAUUGGACAAUGGGCGCAAGCCUGAUCCAGCCAUGCCGCGUGGGUGAAGAAGGCC